rnacentral:rRNA from 1 species
GACGAACGCUGGCGGCGUGCCUAAUACAUGCAAGUUGAGCGCUGAAGGUUGGUGCUUGUACCAACUGGAUGAGCAGCGAACGGGUGAGUAACGCGUGGGGAAUCUGCCUUUGAGCGGGGGACAACAUUUGGAAACGAAUGCUAAUACCGCAUAAAAACUUUAAACACAAGUUUUAAGUUUGAAAGAUGCAAUUGCAUCACUCAAAGAUGAUCCCGCGUUGUAUUAGCUAGUUGGUGAGGUAAAGGCUCACCAAGGCGAUGAUACAUAGCCCACCUGAGAGGGUGGACGGCCACAUUGGGAAUUGGACACGGCCCAAAAUCCUAAGGGAGGCAGCAGGAGGGAAUCUUCGGCAAUGGACGGAAGUCUGACCGAGCAACGCCGCGUGAGUGAAGAAGGUUUUCGGAUCCGAAAAAUCUGUUGGUAGAGAAGGACGUUGGUGGGAGUGGAAAGCGCAUCAAGUGACGGUAACUACUCAGAAAGGCACGGCUAACUACGUG